UGUGUCAUUAUCGUUAAAACUCAAAGUUUUCAAGCCCUUUUUCAUUAGUUUUCCUUUUUAUAUAUGUAUCACUUAUUUAAUUUUAAUUGUUUUAAAAAUUAUUCCUACUUUGGCUUAUGCGUUUGUUUCAUUAUCUUUAAAUAUUACACUAAUACGUUUAUUUUAUGUUUACAGAAAAAGGCGAAGGUGAACAAGAUCAACCGAGAGAAGAAAACUCUUCUCCGCCAUUUUGGUUCGAGACCUUUCUCCUAUUAGAUGGAGGUGCACCAACAGGGGGUUCUAAAUUCCCCGAGAUAGACGUCUUUAAGGAUGUUUAUGUUCUACCAGGGAUGAGCUUGCCGAGCAGUUGCACUUGACGAUGGUGGAGAGGAGCAAGACCGUCCUUUAGGAGUCUGCAUCCCGGCUUCUCCUAAGCACUCCUAUCGAGUUCAUGGCUCCGCCCGAGGAUGUGGGGUUUCAGAUCUUGAUUGUGACCAUUAGGCAAAGGUGGGGGAAGUAUUGUCAGAUGACGGGGUAGGCUCAUCAGCGUUUUAUUGGGGCCUUAUCAUCAUCAUAACCACAGGGCCCCGGUGUCACUGAACUAACGCAUAAAGUGGCCGACCUGAGGAGUAAGCUCGUGUUGAGCGUUGAGGCCCUCAGCUCGAAUGGCAUUUGUCUCUCACUCGACGUUGCUGGUCCCCUCCACCUCCGAGCCACAUAACCCGUCGACCUCCGAGCCCGUCCACUAGCUCGACCGUCAUCUUCCCCAACACACUGAUUAAUAACCCAUCCAGCAGCACGACUUCUAGCCCGACCCGCACCCCUACCUGCAGACGACCCUAUUUAAUGACCAAAUAUUUAUAGGUUUCUUUUUUCUUAGUUUUAAACUUUUUACUUGUACGUACAUUUUUAUUUGAUAUCUAAAUGUCAUUUUUUUCCUCCAUUCAUUAU